rnacentral:piRNA from 2 species
UCUGAAGAGAAUAGCAUCCUUAGAGGUCAC